CCCUGCGUAGCUCAGUUGGCAGAGCAUUGGGCUAGUAUUCCAAAGGUCGUAGGUUCGAUUCCCACCGUGGCCG